rnacentral:rRNA from 1 species
GGAUUAGAUACCCUGGUAGUCCACGCAGUAAACGUUGUUCACUAGGUGUAGCGGGUAUUGACCCCUGCUGUGCCGCAGCUAACGCAUUAAGUGAACCGCCUGGGGAGUACGGCCGCAAGGCUGAAACUCAAAGGAAUUGACGGGGGCUCACACAAGCGGUGGAGGAUGUGGUUUAAUUCGAAACAACGCGAAGAACCUUACCAGGCCUUGACAUAGACGUAGUACGACACUCGAAAGGUGAAGGAUCUUGGGUUUACCAAGAAGCGUUUACAGGUGCUGCAUGGCUGUCGUCAGCUCGUGCUG